UGGCGGGGGUGGCUUACCAUGCAGUCGAACGAUGAAGCCCAGCUUGCUGGGUGGAAGAGUGGCGAACGGGUGAGUAACACGUGAGCAACCUGCCCUUCACUCUGGGAUAAGCACUGGAAACGGUGUCUAAUACUGGAUAUGCACAAUGGCCGCAUGGUCUGUUGUGGGAAAGAUUUAUCGGUGAAGGAUGGGCUCGCGGCCUAUCAGCUUGUUGGUGAGGUAGUGGCUCACCAAGGCGACGACGGGUAGCCGGCCUGAGAGGGUGACCGGCCACACUGGGACUGAGACACGGCCCAGACUCCUACGGGAGGCAGCAGUGGGGAAUAUUGCACAAUGGGCGCAAGCCUGAUGCAGCAACGCCGCGUGAGGGAUGACGGCCUUCGGGUUGUAAACCUCUUUUAGUAGGGAAGAAGCGAAAGUGACGGUACCUGCAGAAAAAGCACCGGCUAACUACGUGCCAGCAGCCGCGGUAAUACGUAGGGUGCAAGCGUUGUCCGGAAUUAUUGGGCGUAAAGAGCUCGUAGGCGGCUUGUCGCGUCUGCUGUGAAAACCCGAGGCUCAACCUCGGGCCUGCAGUGGGUACGGGCAGGCUAGAGUGCGGUAGGGGAGAUUGGAAUUCCUGGUGUAGCGGUGGAAUGCGCAGAUAUCAGGAGGAACACCGAUGGCGAAGGCAGAUCUCUGGGCCGUAACUGACGCUGAGGAGCGAAAGCAUGGGGAGCGAACAGGAUUAGAUACCCUGGUAGUCCAUGCCGUAAACGUUGGGAACUAGAUGUAGGGCCUGUUCCACGGGUUCUGUGUCGUAGCUAACGCAUUAAGUUCCCCGCCUGGGGAGUACGGCCGCAAGGCUAAAACUCAAAGGAAUUGACGGGGGCCCGCACAAGCGGCGGAGCAUGCGGAUUAAUUCGAUGCAACGCGAAGAACCUUACCAAGGCUUGACUUAUACGAGAACGCUGUAGAAAUACGAACUCUUUGGACCUCGUAACAGGGGGGGAUGGUUGCCUCAACUCCGGCCUGAAAUGUCGGUUAGUCCGGC
rnacentral:rRNA from 1 species